rnacentral:rRNA from 1 species
GAUUAUGGCUCAGAACGAACGCUGGCGGCAGGCCUAACACAUGCAAGUCGAACGAUAAGCCACCUCGGGUGGUGGACAGUGGCAGACGGGUGAGUAACGCGUGGGAACGUGCCUUUCGGUUCGGAAUAACCCAGGGAAACUUGGGCUAAUACCGGAUACGCCCUUCGGGGGAAAGAUUCAUUGCCGAAAGAUCGGCCCGCGUCGGAUUAGCUAGUUGGUGGGGUAAUGGCUCACCAAGGCGACGAUCCGUAGCUGGUCUGAGAGGAUGACCAGCCACACUGGGACUGAGACACGGCCCAGACUCCUACGGGAGGCAGCAGUGGGGAAUAUUGGACAAUGGGCGCAAGCCUGAUCCAGCCAUGCCGCGUGGGUGAAGAAGGCCUUAGGGUUGUAAACCCCUUUCAGCGGGGAAGAUAAUGACGGUACCCGCAGAAGAAGUCCCGGCUAACUCCGUGCCAGCAGCAGC